AUUGAACGCUGGCGGCAGGCCUAACACAUGCAAGUCGAGCGGAUGAAGGGAGCUUGCUCCUGGAUUCAGCGGCGGACGGGUGAGUAAUGCCUAGGAAUCUGCCUGGUAGUGGGGGAUAACGUCCGGAAACGGGCGCUAAUACCGCAUACGUCCUGAGGGAGAAAGUGGGGGAUCUUCGGACCUCACGCUAUCAGAUGAGCCUAGGUCGGAUUAGCUAGUUGGUGGGGUAAAGGCCUACCAAGGCGACGAUCCGUAACUGGUCUGAGAGGAUGAUCAGUCACACUGGAACUGAGACUCGGUCCAGACUCCUACGGGAGGCAGCAGUGGGGACUAUUGGACAAUGGGCGAAAGCCUGAUCCAGCCAUGCCGCGUGUGUGAAGAAGGUCUUCGGAUUGUAAAGCACUUUAAGUUGGGAGGAAGGGCAGUAAGUUAAUACCUUGCUGUUUUGACGUUACCAACAGAAUAAGCACCGGCUAACUUCGUG
rnacentral:rRNA from 1 species